rnacentral:rRNA from 1 species
UUCAAGUGAAGAGUUUGAUCCUGGCUCAGAUUGAACGCUGGCGGUAUGCUUAACACAUGCAAGUCGAACGGUAACGAUGGGAGCUUGCUCCCAGGCGACGAGUGGCGGACGGGUGAGUAACGCGUAGGAAUCUGCCUGGUAGUGGGGGACAACUCGAGGAAACUCGAGCUAAUACCGCAUACGCCCUACGGGGGAAAGCGGGGGAUCUUCGGACCUCGCGCUAUCAGAUGAGCCUGCGUUGGAUUAGCUAGUUGGUGAGGUAACGGCUCACCAAGGCGACGAUCCAUAGCUGGUCUGAGAGGACGAUCAGCCACACUGGGACUGAGACACGGCCCAGACUCCUACGGGAGGCAGCAGUGGGGAAUAUUGGACAAUGGGGGC